CACACCCACACAAGGUCAGAUUCACAGGAGGUCCUGCUAGGGCCGUAACACCCUCAGUCUGAGAUAGCAUAAUAGAUGCAAAGAACAUCAGUGCUGCUGCUAUGGAAGGAGUCUGUGGAUUAUAUCUGGUCUGCUACUAGUGAUUGAACUGCAGGUCUUCCGGCUGUCUGGGAAGUGGUGCCUCUGCUUUCAAGCACUUGUACCGUGCACCCUGGGAGCGGCCUCUUCAAAAAUCUGGGAAACCUCUCCCAGGUGGAGCUACUGUGUUAUUAUGUUGAAACUAUUUCUGCAAUAUAUAUGUAUAUAUUAAAAAAAAAACAUCUGUUGACCAAGUUCUAUGUCAUCAUGAUGACAAAUGGUCUCCAUCAAUUUUCAAAUUGCCAAUGCAAAGAUUUGUUUCUGCGAGAAUGUUUCCCUGAACUACAGCGAGCACUGACUCACUCCUGCAGUAGUUUGGUUUUGGUUGUUUCCAUCAUUAAAGUGGUUCUCUGGUUUCUGUUCA